rnacentral:rRNA from 1 species
GCGAGCGUUGUUCGGAAUUAUUGGGCGUAAAGGGUGCGUAGGCGGUUUGGUAAGUCUCGUGUGAAAUCUACAGGCUCAACUUGUAGUCUGCACGAGAAACUGCCGGGCUUGAGUAUGGGAGAGGUGAGUGGAAUUCCUGGUGUAGCGGUGAAAUGCGUAGAUAUCAGGAGGAACACCUGUGGCGAAAGCGGCUCACUGGACCAUAACUGACGCUGAUGCACGAAAGUUAGGGGAGCGAACAGG